rnacentral:rRNA from 1 species
CUGGCGGCAGGCUAACACAUGCAAGUCGAAUGGUAACAGGAAACAGCUUGCUGUUUCGCUGACGAGUGGCGGACGGGUGAGUAAUGUCUGGGAAACUGCCUGAUGGAGGGGGAUAACUACUGGAAACGGUAGCUAAUACCGCAUAACGUCGCAAGACCAAAGAGGGGGACCUUCGGGCCUCUUGCCAUCAGAUGUGCCCAGAUGGGAUUAGCUAGUAGGUGGGGUAACGGCUCACCUAGGCGACGAUCCCUAGCUGGUCUGAGAGGAUGACCAGCCACACUGGAACUGAGACACGGUCCAGACUCCUACGGGAGGCAGCAGUGGGGAAUAUUGCACAAUGGGCGCAAGCCUGAUGCAGCCAUGCCGCGUGUAUGAAGAAGGCCUUCGGGUUGUAAAGUACUUUCAGCGGGGAGGAAGGGAGUAAAGUUAAUACCUUUGCUCAUUGACGUUACCCGCAGAAGAAGCACCGGCUAACUCCGUG